rnacentral:tRNA from 1 species
AUUAUUUUGGCAGAAUAGUGCAAUAAAUUUAGAAUUUAUAUAUGUAUAAUAUACAAAUAAUA